rnacentral:rRNA from 1 species
AGAGCGAACGCUGGCGGCAGGCUUAACACAUGCAAGUCGAGCGGGCGUAGCAAUACGUCAGCGGCAGACGGGUGAGUAACGCGUGGGAACAUACCUUUUGGUUCGGAACAACACAGGGAAACUUGUGCUAAUACCGGAUAAGCCCUUACGGGGAAAGAUUUAUCGCCGAAAGAUUGGCCCGCGUCUGAUUAGCUAGUUGGUGAGGUAACGGCUCACCAAGGCGACGAUCAGUAGCUGGUCUGAGAGGAUGAUCAGCCACAUUGGGACUGAGACACGGCCCAAACUCCUACGGGAGGCAGCAGUGGGAAUAUUGGACAAUGGGCGCAAGCCUGAUCCAGCCAUGCCGCGUGAGUGAUGAAGGCCCUAGGGUUGUAAAGCUCUUUUGUGCGGGAAGAUAAUGACGGUACCGCAAGAAUAACGCCCCGGCUAACUUCGCGCCAGCAGCCGC